GCGCUCAUAGCUCAACUGGAUAGAGCAUCGGUCUUCGAAACCGAGGGUUGGGGGUUCGACUCCCUCUGGGCGUA
rnacentral:tRNA from 1 species